rnacentral:rRNA from 1 species
GAUGAACGCUAGCGAUAGGCCUAACACAUGCAAGUCGAGGGGCAUCACAUGAAGUAGCAAUACGGAUGGUGGCGACCGGCGCACGGGUGAGUAACACGUAUGCAACCUGCCUUCAACAAGGGGAUAACCCGUUGAAAGACGGACUAAUACCCUAUAACACAGGGGUCCCGCAUGGGAAUAUUUGUUAAAGGACAACCGGUUGAAGAUGGGCAUGCGUUCCAUUAGCUAGUUGGCGGGGUAACGGCCCACCAAGGCAACGAUGGAUAGGGGAACUGAGAGGUUUAUCCCCCACACUGGUACUGAGACACGGACCAGACUCCUACGGGAGGCAGCAGUGAGGAAUAUUGGUCAAUGGACGCAAGUCUGAACCAGCCACGUCGCGUGAAGGAAGACGGCCCUACGGGUUGUAAACUUCUUUUAUACGGGAAUAAAGUGCCCCACGCGUGGGGUUUUGCAUGUACCGUAUGAAUAAGGAUCGGCUAACUCCGUGCCAGCAGCCGC